AUUGAACGCUGGCGGCAUGCCUUACACAUGCAAGUCGAACGGCAGCACGGGUGCUUGCACCUGGUGGCGAGUGGCGAACGGGUGAGUAAUAUAUCGGAACGUACCUUAUUGUGGGGGAUAACGCAGCGAAAGCUGUGCUAAUACCGCAUAAUCCCUAAGGGGGAAAGCGGGGGACCGUAAGGCCUCGCGCAAUUAGAGCGGCCGAUACCUGAUUAGCUAGUUGGUGAGGUAAAGGCUCACCAAGGCAACGAUCAGUAGCUGGUCUGAGAGGACGAUCAGCCACACUGGGACUGAGACACGGCCCAGACUCCUACGGGAGGCAGCAGUGGGGAAUUUUGGAAAAUGGGGGCAACCCUGAUCCAGCAAUGCCGCGUGAGUGAAGAAGGCCUUCGGGUUGUAAGGCUCUUUUGUCAGGGAAGAAACAGCAGCUCUAACACAGUUUGCGAAUGACGGUACCUGAAGAAUAAGCACCGGCUAACUACGUGCCAGCAGCCGCCGUAA
rnacentral:rRNA from 1 species